rnacentral:rRNA from 1 species
AUGAACGCUGGCGGCGUGCCUAAUACAUGCAAGUAGAACGCUGAAGGAGGAGCUUGCUCUUCUGGAUGAGUUGCGAACGGGUGAGUAACGCGUAGGUAACCUGCCUGGUAGCGGGGGAUAACUAUUUGAAACGAUAGCUAAUACCGCAUGACAACAGUUAUUGCAUGAUAACUGUUUAAAAGGGGCAACUGCUCCACUACCAGAUGGACCUGCGUUGUCUUCGCUAGUUGGUGAGGUAACGGCUCACCAAGGCGACGAUACAUAGCCGGCCUGCGAGGGUGAUCGGCCACACUGGGACUGGGACACGGCCCAGACUCCUACGGGAGGCAGCAGUAGGGAAUCUUCGGCAAUGGACGGAAGUCUGACCGAGCAACGCCGCGUGAGUGAAGAAGGUUUUCGGAUCGUAAAGCUCUGUUGUAAGAGAAGAACGAGUGGGAGAGUGGAAAGUUCACACUGUGACGGUAUCUUACCAGAAAGGGACGGCUAACUACGUG